rnacentral:rRNA from 1 species
UGGGCCAUUUUUGGUAAGCAGAACUGGCGAUGAGGGAUGCACCUAACGUGGAGUUAAGGCGCCCAAACCCGCAAUAAUUCGACACCAAAAAAGGAGUUGAUUCAUUAAGACAGCAGGACGGUGUCCCUGAAAGUAGGAAUCCGCUAAGUAGUGUCUUACAACUAACCUGCCGAAUGAAUCAGCCCUGAAAAUGGAUGGCGCUACAUUGCGGUGCCGAUACUCCACCAUCAGAGCAAAUAUGACGCUUUGAUGUGUAAGGGGGCGUGGGAGUAGUGUAGAAGCUGUGACGUGAGUCGAGGUGGAACUGCUCUUAGUGCAGAUCUUGGUGGUAGUA